rnacentral:rRNA from 1 species
AUGGACCUUCGCCUCGCCGCCGCCUCCCGCAAAAUUGGCCGCCCCGACUACGUCCUCCUCUGCACAUAUGGGUGCAGCGACGCGGUGGACAUUAACAAGACCACAGCGUGCGUCUCGCUGAGCAAAAUGGGAUGCAUCAAGGUAACCAUCUCAAAACAAGAUCUGCCAUCGAUCUCCUACUUCCAUGUUACCUGUCCCGACCUCACAGAGAACCCCUUCACCCAAAGUCCUGAGAUCCUUUGGUCGUCGGAGAACUUCAUCCUCUUCCGUGUCCAUCUCGUGGGACCCGGCCCACCAGAGUUCUUCCUCUAUAUGGUCGAAGGCCCGGAGUUCAAGAGGCCGAUGCUUAGUCUGCUUCCUGACUUUGGCUCGUAUUGUGUUCGCGAGAUGCUAGAUCCAUACCUUGUAGGCGUCGUUCCCGACGAUGACGGCAAGAGCCAUUUCGUGACCGCUUUCAAAAGGAAGGAGUCAGCGGAUUGCGAACUCCACAUCUACAGGCUUGAAGGCAGUACCGGGACCUGGAGCAAAGAGCAUAUUUUCCCAGAUUUCCCCUCCUGGGCACGUUCAGGGGUUUUUCCAGAUAAGGUGGUUGCAUUAGGUCAAGAAGUGGGCUAUGUCGAUCUCUUGAAGGGGAUUCUUUUCUGCAAUGUGGUCAAAAAUCCGGUGAAGGCACAUUUCAUUCCAUUGCCGAACCUGCUACCCAACAACCAACACUACUUCUAUGAAGAAUUGCCAGGACAGGCAAUACGUGAUGUCACCUGCACUGAUAGUUAUAAAAUCAUGUGUGUUGAGCUGGAAGAUUUAUUCGGUUUCACAACCAGAAUCCCUGAUCCUGAUGUACUCCAUGAUUUUGAAGUUGAUCCAUCUAUGAAGGUGGUAAAGCACAUGCGUGUUGGUUGGAGGCUCGUGACAUGGUAUCGGGAGAUUUUUUGGGACCAUUGGCAAAAGGUGUGUAAGAUUCAUGUUGAUGAACUUGGAGAAGUCUCCUUGCCUCCUCAUGGUAGAACAGAACCCUUGCCACCCAAGAACCUGAAACCAUCUUCUAGAGCUAAAAAGUUGCCUCUGAGCGACCUGCAAACAGCUUGUCCGAUCCUCUGUGGCGAUUAUGUUUGCCUCCUCUCCAAGUGGGACUAUCGUGAUGAUGAGGCUUGGAUUGUCACUGUUGACAUGUGGAAGAAAGCAGUGAGAGGACUGGUGCGAGUUAAAGAUGGGAUAUCCAUGCGUCUCAAUCCAGCCUACAUAUCCUUUGUGAUGAAGAAUUAUCGCAAGGGUGAAUCAGAUGGACGUAGCUCUCUUGUGAAGGAUACUCCUUUUCACGGCAAACGUUGUCUGUUUCCAGCCGAAGAGGAUACUGAGGGGUUCGACAAUGGAACAAAGAGAACGAUAUGGUUGAGUCGACCUCCAUAG